rnacentral:tRNA from 1 species
UCCCUAGUGGCUGAGUCGGUAGAGAAUCUGCCUGCAAUGCAGGAGACCCAGGUUCAAUCUCUGGAUUGGGAA